CCCUGUCCCCAGGCUGACUAGUAAAUCAGCCUCUUUGGUCACCUAACAAAUUCCCUGCAUCACACUCCCGGUGUUUGAAAUACCGCAAGUUGUUUUCUGCUUUCCGGGUUUGAGUCUGCCUAAAUGAGGGGAACUGGUGACGCCUGGGCGGGCACUAUGGGCUGCACUGCAGCCUGGGGCGGGGCCACGCGGGGAGCCUCAGCGAUUGGACGAUUAGGUCCGGAUGAGCAGAGGCCCCGCCCUCCAUUCGGUCAGAGUUUCCCCCCACCUCUCUCAGGGCCAGAGUGUGCAAGCACGGUGGAGCUCUUGGAAGGAUCGAUGGACCGCCGUGACUUGAGAAUAAUGUCUCCAUCUACAUUUAAAGAAGUUUUCCAGAAACCUGACAGAUGGAGUGAAUAUCCACUGCCAGAUUACAGUGCGUCUGUCUAAUGGAGGCCACCACCCAACUGGGUUCCAAACAUAUGGACAGCGAAGGUAUUGUUUUAUAUGUAUGUAUUUCUCUCUUUUUUCUUUUUCUUUCUUCUGUUUCUCUGUUUCUCUCUUUCUGUCUUUUUCUCUUUCUUUCUUUCUUUCCUUCUUUCUUUUUAUUUCCUUCCUUCCUUCUUUCUUUCUUUCUUUCCUUUUUGGGGCCACACCUACAGCACAUGGAAGUUCCCAGGCUAGGGGUCAAAUUAGAGCUAUAGCUGCUGGCCUACACCACAGCCACAGGAACACGGAUCUGAGCCGCAUCUGCAACCUACACCACAGCUCAUGGCAACGCCAGAUCUCGACCGACUGAGCAAGGCCAGGGAUCGAACACGCAGCCUCAUGGAUACUAGUUGGAUCGUUUCCACUCUGCCCCAAGGGGAACUCCUAGUAUUUGUUUCUCUAAUUCCUGUUGCUGCUCAGUACGGUUCCUUUGAUUGUUUUAAUAAUAACAUUACAUACUGGGGAAUGUAUGCACUGUUGUUUCUCAAAUGUACUUAUUCCUGUUUUGCCUUUUUACUUUAAUUUUGGGUUCUCAAUUUAAACAUACAGGGAGAAAAAAAUGCCAGCACAAUUGUUGGACAUUUCCCUUCUCGUAGUGUAGCCUAUCAAGCAGGAUGCUAACAUUCUCAUGUCGCCUAUUUCGUUUAUCAAAUCCAAACCUAAAUUGGAAAGCUUCAGAGUCUCUAAGACUGUACCAGUUACUCUCCAGGACAGUGGAGCAUUGCGGCUAAGGAAGUGAUACUCAAGAUGCCUCUUCACUGUAUGAGCCGCAUGAAGCUGUAGAGUAAAAUUGAUAUGCUUAGCUUUUCUUAUUUUAUCUCUCACCAUCUAGUUUCUGAGAAAUAAAAGCAAAGGACUAAUUUAAAAAUAAAUAAGC
rnacentral:lncRNA from 1 species